AAAUGCUACGCUUUUUCAUAGGAUACAUGGCUGGUUAUAUUGACAUUACCGUUUGCAUCAUUCAUCUGUCUUGCUAUUCUAAAAGUUCCAAAGGGAAUGGGAUGCCACUGUACAGUGAUAGAGGAUUGCCCCCAUGAUGGGUUUAGGUGGUAACUCAAUCAACUUGAGAUCCCAGGUUCAACUUCCAUCAUUAGUUUUUAAAAAGGUGGUCUGUGUACGUUCCUUAAGCUUUGGAGUGGGAGUUUCUCCACACGUGUAAGAGCUGCGCCGGAUUUUCAAUGAAUUCCUUGUCGGGCAGCAUUCUACAUUUGUUAUGAGUUGUGACUUUCUCUUGAACUGAAAAUAUGAUGCAUUACUUCACC